AGUGAACGCUGGCGGUAGGCCUAACACAUGCAAGUCGAACGGCAGCACAGUAAGAGCUUGCUCUUACGGGUGGCGAGUGGCGGACGGGUGAGGAAUACAUCGGAAUCUACUUUUUCGUGGGGGAUAACGUAGGGAAACUUACGCUAAUACCGCAUACGACCUACGGGUGAAAGCAGGGGAUCUUCGGACCUUGCGCGAUUGAAUGAGCCGAUGUCGGAUUAGCUAGUUGGCGGGGUAAAGGCCCACCAAGGCGUCGAUCCGUAGCUGGUCUGAGAGGAUGAACAGCCACACUGGAACGGAGAAACGGGCCAGACCACUAGGGGAGGCAGAAGGGGGGAAUAUUGGAAAAGGGGGGAAAGCCUGAUCCAGCCAUACCGGGUGGGGGAAGAAGGCCUUCGGGUUGUAAAGCCCUUUUGUGGGGAAAAAAAAGCAGCAGGUUAAAACCCCGCUGUUCUGACGGUACCAAAAGAAUAAGCAACGGCUAACUUCGU
rnacentral:rRNA from 1 species